AGUGAACGCUGGCGGUAGGCCUAACACAUGCAAGUCGAACGGCAGCACAGUAAGAGCUUGCUCUUACGGGUGGCGAGUGGCGGACGGGUGAGGAAUACAUCGGAAUCUACUUUUUCGUGGGGGAUAACGUAGGGAAACUUACGCUAAUACCUCAUACGACCUACGGGUGAAAGCAGGGGAUCUUCGGACCUUGCGCGAUUGAAUGAGCCGAUGUCGGAUUAGCUAGUUGGCGGGGUAAAGGCCUACCAAGGCGACGAUCCGGAGCUGGUCUGAGAGGAUGAGCAGCCACACUGGAACUGAGACACGGUCCAGACUCCUACGGGAGGCAGCAGUGGGAGAUAUUGGACAAUGGGCGCAAGCCUGAUCCAGCCAUACCGAGUGGGUGAAGAAGGCCUUCGGGUUGUAAAGCCCUUUUGUUGGGAAAGAAAAGCAGCAGGUUAAUACCCCGCUGUUCUGACGGUACCCAAAGAAUAAGCACCGGCUAACUUCGUG
rnacentral:rRNA from 1 species